rnacentral:rRNA from 1 species
CCUACGGGAGGCUGCAGUAGGGAAUCUUCCACAAUGGACGAAAGUCUGAUGGAGCAACGCCGCGUGAGUGAAGCAGGGUUUCGGCUCGUAAAGCUCUUUUGGUAGUGAGGAAAGAUAGAGGUAGUAACUGGCCUGUAUUUGACGGUAAUUACUUAGAAAGUCCCGGCUAACUACGUGCCAGCAGCCGCGGUAAUACGUAGGUGGCGAGCGUUUUCCGGAUUGAUUGGGCGUAAAGCGAGUGCAGGCGGUGCAAUAAGUCUGGUGUGAAAGCCUUCGGCUCAACCGGAGAAUUGCAUCAGAAACUGGUGAACUUGAGUGCAGAAGAGGAGAGUGGAACUCCAUGUGUAGCGGUGGAAUGCGUAGAGAUAUGGAAGAAGACCAGUGGCGAAGGCGGCUCUCUGGUCUGCAACUGACGCUGAGGCGCGAAAGCAUGGGUAGCGAACAGGAUUAGAUACCCCUGUAGUC